rnacentral:rRNA from 1 species
CCUACGGGAGGCAGCAGUGAGGAAUAUUGGUCAAUGGACGAGAGUCUGAACCAGCCAAGUAGCGUGAAGGAUGACUGCCCUAUGGGUUGUAAACUUCUUUUAUAUGGGAAUAAAACGUUCCACGUGUGGGAUUUUGUAUGUACCAUAUGAAUAAGGAUCGGCUAACUCCGUGCCAGCAGCCGCGGUAAUACGGAGGAUCCGAGCGUUAUCCGGAUUUAUUGGGUUUAAAGGGAGCGUAGGUGGAUUGUUAAGUCAGUUGUGAAAGUUUGCGGCUCAACCGUAAAAUUGCAGUUGAAACUGGCAGUCUUGAGUACAGUAGAGGUGGGCGGAAUUCGUGGUGUAGCGGUGAAAUGCUUAGAUAUCACGAAGAACUCCGAUUGCGAAGGCAGUUCACUGGACUGCAUCUGACACUGAGGCUCGAAAGUGUGGGUAUCAAACAGGAUUAGAUACCCCAGUAGUC